rnacentral:rRNA from 1 species
GGCCAGACUCCUACGGGAGGCAGCAGUGGGGAAUAUUGCACAAUGGGGGAAACCCUGAUGCAGCGACGCCGCGUGAGCGAUGAAGUAUUUCGGUAUGUAAAGCUCUAUCAGCAGGGAAGAAAAUGACGGUACCUGACUAAGAAGCCCCGGCUAACUACGUGCCAGCAGCCGCGGUAAUACGUAGGGGGCAAGCGUUAUCCGGAUUUACUGGGUGUAAAGGGAGCGUAGACGGCGGUGCAAGCCAGAUGUGAAAGCCCGGGGCUCAACCCCGGGACUGCAUUUGGAACUGUGCUGCUAGAGUGUCGGAGAGGCAGGCGGAAUUCCUAGUGUAGCGGUGAAAUGCGUAGAUAUUAGGAGGAACACCAGUGGCGAAGGCGGCUUUCUGGCUCAUAACUGACGCUGAGGCGCGAAAGCGUGGGGAGCAAACAGGAUUAGAUACCCCCGUACGA